AAGUCGUAACAAGGUUUCCGUAGGUGAACCUGCGGAAGGAUCAUUAUCGUGGGGCUUCGGCCCUAUCGAGAUAGAACCCUUGCCUUUAUAGUACCUUCUGUUGCCUCGGCGGCUGCUUUAUUGCGUCGCCAACGGGGCCAACCAAAAAACUCUUUUAUCACCUGUAACAGUCUGAAAAACAAACAAAAAUUAAAACUUUCAACAACGGAUCUCUUGGUUCUGGCAUCGAUGAAGAACGCAGCGAAAUGCGAUAAGUAGUGUGAAUUGCAGAAUUCAGUGAAUCAUCGAAUCUUUGAACGCACAUUGCGCCCUUUGGUAUUCCUUAGGGCAUGCCUGUUCGAGCGUCAUUUAAACCUUCAAGCUCUGCUUGGUGUUGGGCACGUCACGCCCCCCUCCGCGGGGGCGUGCGCCUCAAAUGUAUUGGCGGCCGGUACGUUGGCUUCGAGCGCAGCAGAAACGCGAACUCGGGGACUCUGGAUCGGCCCUCCACAAGCUAUUUUACCAUUUUGACCUCGGAUCAGGUAGGGAUACCCGCUGAACUUAAGCAUAUCAAUAAGCGGAGGAAAAGAAACCAACAGGGAUUGCCCUAGUAACGGCGAGUGAAGCGGCAACAGCUCAAAUUUGAAAUCUGGCUCCUUCGGGGUCCGAGUUGUAAUUUGUAGAGGGUGCUCUGGCGUUGGCUGUGGUCUAAGUUCCUUGGAACAGGACGUCGCAGAGGGUGAGAAUCCCGUAUGUGGCCGCCAGCCUCCGCCGUGUAAAGCCCCUUCGACGAGUCGAGUUGUUUGGGAAUGCAGCUCUAAAUGGGAGGUAAAUUUCUUCUAAAGCUAAAUAUUGGCCAGAGACCGAUAGCGCACAAGUAGAGUGAUCGAAAGAUGAAAAGCACUUUGGAAAGAGAGUCAAAAAGCACGUGAAAUUGUUGAAAGGGAAGCGCUUGCAGCCAGACUUGCCUGUAGUUGCUCAUCCGGGCUCACGCCCGGUGCACUCUUCUAUGGGCAGGCCAGCAUCAGUCGGGGCGGUUGGAUAAAUGUCUGCUAAAUGUACCUCUCCUCGGGGAGGACUUAUAGGGCAGGCGGCAUGCAACCAGCCCCGAUUGAGGUCCGCGCAUCUGCUAGGAUGCUGGCGUAAUGGCUGUAAGCGGCC
rnacentral:rRNA from 1 species